AGGGACUUAGGAUAAUAUAGACCAAGAGCCUUCAAAGCUCCAAGUGAGAGUGAAAAUCUCUCAGACCCUG
rnacentral:tRNA from 1 species